CAUUGUGACCUUUAUGGGUGUUUUCACACCGACAGCCUUUAGUUUGGUUGAAUCAAACUAGAGUUGGUUUGCCCUGCUGGUGCGGUUCGUUUGGGCAGGAAAGAACG